rnacentral:rRNA from 1 species
AACGAACGCUGGCGGCAUGCCUAACACAUGCAAGUCGAACGAGACCUUCGGGUCUAGUGGCGCACGGGUGCGUAACGCGUGGGAACCUGCCCUUAGGUUCGGAAUAACUCCCCGAAAGGGGUGCUAAUACCGGAUAAUGUCUUCGCACCAAAGAUUUAUCGCCUUUGGAUGGCCCCGCGUUGGAUUAGCUAGUUGGUAGGGUAAAAGCCUACCAAGGCGACGAUCCAUAGCUGGUCUGAGAGGAUGAUCAGCCACACUGGGACUGAGACACGGCCCAGACUCCUACGGGAGGCAGCAGUGGGGAAUAUUGGACAAUGGGCGAAAGCCUGAUCCAGCAAUGCCGCGUGAGUGAUGAAGGCCUUAGGGUUGUAAAGCUCUUUUACCCGGGAUGAUAAUGACAGUACCGGGAGAAUAAGCUCCGGCUAACUCCGUG